GAGAGAGAGAGAGAGAGAGAAAGAGAGAGAGAGAGAGAAAGAGAGAGAGAGACACAGAGACAGAGACACAGAGACAGAGACACAGAGACACAGAGAGAGACAGAGACACAGAGACACAGAUAGAAACCCUGUCUCAAAUAACAACAAUGACAACAAACCAAAAAAUAAGGUAGAUAGUUCAAAGGAAAUGAUUCUUGAGGUUGACUUGCGGCCUUCACAUACACACACAUACAUCAAAACACAUGAACACACGUGUUUAUGUGCUCAAACACAGGAGAGGACUACUGUACUGAACAAGGAUGACUGCAGGCUUCUUGGAAGUCCACUGCUCUUCAACUCUGUUCUAGUCAGCUUUCCGUUGCUGUGACAAAGUACUUGAGAGAGAAGCUUGAAGGUUUGUCUUGGGCCACAGCUCCAUAGAUUUCAGCCCACAGAGUGCUGCUUCUGGGCCUGUGUGCCGUGGGGAAGAACAUGGUGGAAUGGUGUGGUGGGUGAAGGCUGCUUAUUGUAACAUGGUUAAGAAGCAGAGAAAGAGGAGGAUCUGUGUAUAUGAUAAACUCUGCAAAGGCAACUUCCUCCAACUGGGUCCCUACAACCCAGGAGCCUAUCCGGCAGGCGUAAAUCAUGGGGCUAACCUAAUAUCAUUCAUAGUACCAUCAACUGGGGACCUAGCUGGCAACAUGAGACUUUGGGGCCAUUUGUUAUACAAAUAACAACAGGCUGCUGUUAGCAGGAUGUGUCAUCUCUGAGAUCGUGAAAAGGUAAAUCCUUUGCUCAGUGGGCCAGUUUUGGAGAGUGUGAUAGUUUGAAUGAGAAAUGUUUGCUAUAAACUCGUGGUUUUGAACUCUCAGUCCUCAGUGCUGUUUGGGGAGGUUAUGGGGAGGUGGAGUCUUGCUGGAGAAAGCACACUGCCUGGAACAGGUUUGGGGGAUUUGAAACCCCACUUUCCUUUCAGCUCACUCUCUGCUUCUUCCUUGCUGUCAGACAUGCUAUCUCUCAGCUUCCCAUCAUCAUGCUUUCAUGAUUGGACUCUCCCCAACCUCCAGAACUGUAAGCCAAAAUAAAAUCUCUCUUCUCUAAGUUGCCUUUGGUCUUAGUAUUUUAUCACAUCAACAGAAAAGUAGCUAAUAUGAAAGGCAAGAAGGGAGAACCCUGGCAGUGUUCAUUUGCAUGAUUCCCGGGCUCCUGUGCCUUUUCACUUUUAAUUAAUGAAUUAAUAAGCUAUCAGUUCAUCAGGUCAGGGAGAGUGCUGGGUACCUAGCCCUCUUGCUUGUAUGAUGGAGACUGGUGUCCUAUGAUAGUCUGUCUUCCUUCUGGUGGUUGGUGGUGUGAGAACCCUACAGUCGACAGGACCCUACCCCAGGUUUGGUAGGCCAGAACUCAGGUGGAGGAACCUGGCAUAAGCAUUGUAUUGAUGACACUUAGCCAAAAGCCCCAGGCUUGGUGAAAGUUGGGGUUUCAACUUGAAUGGCUGGACACACACUGUUGGGUACUGGCGAGUCUCACACUCCAUGAUGGUGGCAGGGCCCCUGGAGUGAGUUAGGUGUUGCCAUGGAUAGACAAUAGGAGGAAGCUACCUUUACCACCAGGUUCUGUGUUCUCAGGAGGCUGUCUUGCAGGUUUCUUGCUGUGGUUACCUCUGCCUCAUGAUUAGGUUUACUGCAGAGGACAGACAGGAAGCCUGAGGGUGGAGGAAAGUGGUCAAGGCUUCCUCUGCCUGUUUCCUUCCUAGGGAGAGUUCUUCCUGUGGAGACAACUGAGACUGCGGCUUCUGUGUCCUCUCUGGAAGCCCUUUUUCUUCUCUCUUGGUCCCUAUUGUUUGUUUUGCUUCAUAGCACCCUGGUGUCUUGGUAUACUCCUUUGUAAAAAGUCCUUUGGGAACUUCCUGUUACAUCCCCAAAUGUCUGGGCCACCGUCCUCCACCCAGAUUCUAACUCAUCAAGGUGGGCUUGUAAACUGUAUCUUUGACCCACAGCCUUCAGGAGCUGAGUGGGACCCCAUCCUUUUCUCCACAAAGCAGCUCAUAAGUGGGUCCUCAAAUGCUCGAGGAGGACCCAAGGGGCCAGAGCUGGGGAGUCCAGAUGCCCUCAUCCUGAAGAACCACACGUGUUUUGAUCUGGGGAUGGUUCUGCUUCCACAAGUGUGGUUCUUGAGUCUCAGCAGAGACAUGAGUCCUUAAAGAAGAUGUUCCACUUGUUCUCAGGGUGAGCUCCUUUCCUUGAGAGAUGAUUAACCAACUGUGGCUAGGGCGUCCCAAGCCUGGGAUGCUUAUCUCUGUGGAGAGAGGCACUCUACUGGGGACAACCCUCACAUAAUCCUGGGGAUUUCUCUAGCGUGUCAUUUUAAUAGGUGUGAUUGUGGUUUGGAGUCUGAUGUGCUGGUAAUUAUCUUCCUGGGCUUAAUCCCUGUGCCCCAGUAAUGCCAUUAUGGUCUCGACAUGGAGUCUUAAAACAGUGAUUAUUUAUAGUGUGCUUCACUGUGCUGCAGGGUGGGGCUGUGGAAGCCCCACUGUCUCUUUUACAGCACUUUGAUGAUGGCUGUGCUGGCUUCUGUGAAUGGCUCAGAUGGGAUCAGGGUCAGACUUUCCCUCCAAGAGCUGCAGUCUGAGUCUCUCUUUCCAGAACAGAGUUGUGUCCAGCCAGGACAUGUGCCCAGAGGCUUCAUGUAUGCCAGCCCCACCCAUACUGCUCAGAGGCCACUGGACAGUUGAGUGGUUAGGAGUAGAGUCUUGCUGAGUCCCAUGAUGGUUGUGUACAAAAGGCUGACCUGCCUUCUUUUCUCUACAUCUGUAAAACAAGCAUAGUUGGGAAUACCUCCUUACAGCCUCCAAUGUGUAGAACUCACUGACAGAAACUGGUAGCUAGCCCAGUUACCCCAGCUCUAGAACAUUCUGGUAGAGACAAAACUGGUUGUAAUAGAACUGGUUAUUAGGUCUUGGGGCACAGGGAUUUUGAGGGCUGGGAGGCUCACUAUGGAUGCUACAGUGGAUGCAUACCAUUGCCAUGUGCAACCCCCCCCCCCAUAUGCAUGUCCCAUCCCACACUGAUAUAAACUGAAUUCUUGGCAGUAACUCUCUUUUACUGUGUGCUUGUGACAAUGUAACAAUGUACUCACAACCGUGUAACUACAUAACACAACAAUGUAACUGUGCUAAUGUAACCACAGCAUCAACAAUUUGAAUGUUUGCUACAAUGUAUCAAGGCACAAUAAGCAAUUGUGAUUGUUCUAGAAUGUGGUUUGAGCCAGAGACUGUAUGUGGACAGGCAGAGGGGAUCUGGGCAUUUCUUUCUCACUCCUUUCAAUUUUGUUUUGAAUACAGCAAAUUGCUCUCAGUAAUGAGACCUAGUUUUGUUUUUAAGAAACCUACCUUACUGGGAACAGUGAGGCACAAAUGAGGUAAUAUGGACAAGCUGUGUACCUGGCACUGGUCAAUAGCAUCAGUCAUUCUGGGUUGCUUGGCUCAGACCCCAGCCCUCUCCCUGCCAAAGCUGGAGGAGAACUACACAUGUCUUCAUGCUGAUGGAGCUCUUCGAUCCCGGGGAGGCAGACUGGGGAGAUGGAGCAAUGGGCAGGGACACAGCUCUGGCCCAAUUCUGCAGGCUGACUUCUGAAGUGCUGAUCAGCGUGAGGGUGUGUGGGAGGGGCUGGUACACCCAUGCCUGCCUCCCCUCUUGAGGCCUCCCCACUUUGUACCUGGGGAGGAUCCGCAGAAGGGUGCUCCCCUGGGGCCUCACAAGUCUGUUAGGGAAUCUUUGUUAACAGCUUCACAUACGUCUUUUGAAUUAUAAAUCGAUAAAUAGUUAAUUCAGUAAUAGAAUUCUUCUGCAUAUUUCAUGUGGCCUACACUCUGAGGGGCUUAGGAUGCUGAUGGCAAAGCAACAGAAGACUGAGGUUCAAGCUUUUUAAACUCCUGUCAGCACUUCUGGAUUCGGUCGACAGUGGGGUAUGGAACACAGGCUAGCCCCUCCUGGCUCCAGCUCCUCUUCCUCUGGGGCCACACAGUGAAGAUGGAGCCCAGUGUACCCUGGGCAUCACUGAUGAAGCGUCUGUACCACCAAUGGCUCUAUUCUGCAGUGGGUUUAUUCCAUGGUACAUAUGGAGAUUCCUUCCACCAUUUGGUUGCUUGAUAUCUUCUACCACGGAGCCAUGACAUAGUCCUCAACCAGGAGAAGCAGAAUUCUGCUGGCGCCCCAGGGCAAGAACACUCAUCCGGAGACUGGCCCAUACACCUAGUGUGUGCAGUGUAUGAUUCCAGCUGUCAAUACCUCUUCAUGAGUCUUU